GGUAGUAAUGCAUAGGAAUCUACCUAGUAGUAUGGGAUAGCCCUAGAAAUGGUGGGUAAUACUGUAUAAUCCCUGCGGGGGAAAGAUUUAUCGCUAUUAGAUGAGCCUAUGUUAGAUUAGCUAGUUGGUAGGGUAAAGGCCUACCAAGGCGAUGAUCUAUAGCUGGUCUGAGAGGAUGAUCAGCCACACUGGAACUGAGAUACGGUCCAGACUCCUACGGGAGGCAGCAGUGGGGAAUAUUGGACAAUGGGCGCAAGCCUGAUCCAGCUAUGCCGCGUGAGUGAGGAAGGCCUUAGGGUUGUAAAACUCUUUCAGUAGGGAAGAUAAUGACGGUACCUACAGAAGAAGUCCCGGCAAACUCCGUGCCAGCAGCCGCGGUAAUACGGAGGGGGCAAGCGUUGUUCGGAAUUAUUGGGCGUAAAGGGCAUGUAGGCGGUUCGGUAAGUUAAAGGUGAAAUGCCAGGGCUUAACCCUGGAGCUGCUUUUAAA
rnacentral:rRNA from 1 species